UGGGAGCUGCAGGAUUCGUUCUGUCUCCUGUGGAAGGAAAACACAGCUCUGCAUCUUCCUGUGCCAGCAAAGGAAUCAGUUCUGGAAUACAGCAAGUGUGACAAUGCCUUUCCUGAGUCAGGAAAGUCAUGGCAUGGAGUUGUUUUUCAUCUGAAGGCCCUCAGACCCUCUGAGCAGCUCCCUGGGGAUUCCGAGUGGACAGAAACAGCCUCUGCCACAGCUUUGUUAGCCAAGCACGGAAUUCAACUUGUUAUUUUCACUUGCCUGUGCUGGCUCACAAGUGACUCAGAAUUUGAUCAAUACUGCUGGUGGCUGUUGGUGCAGCAACUGAUGGGGAGCUGGAGGAGAAUUAUUCUGCUGAAAGCCUCGAGAAAAAUCAGUCAGAGAAGGCUGUGCCGCCAGAGCCCCAUCCCGUCACGCUCAGACAAAAUCCUCAGAAAUCCCACCUUAAAAACCACACUGGAAACACCAGGAGGAAAGUAUCAAGACAAGCAGUCCUUGGGAAUGUAUGGAAUUGACACAGAAGUCAUGGAGCAACUGAGCAGUGACAGGACUGGAAAGAGCAGGGUUUGGCAACCUCCCUGAAGGAAAACACCAGCACCUUCUUGGCCUUGUUUCUGGGGUGAUGGCAAAGGAGAAAGGACGGG
rnacentral:lncRNA from 1 species